GAUGAACGCUGACAGAAUGCUUAACACAUGCGAGUCAACUUGAACUUCGGUUUGGGUGGCGGACGGGUGAGUAACGCGUAAGGAACUUGCCUCACAGCUAGGGACAACAUUUGGAAACGAAUGCUAAUACCUGAUAUUAUGAUUAUAUGGCAUCGUAUAAUUAUGAAAGCUAUAUGCGCUGUGAGAGAGCUUUGCGUCCCAUUAGCUAGUUGGAGAGGUAACAGCUCACCAAGGCGAUGAUGGGUAGCCGGCCUGAGAGGGUGAUCGGCCACAAGGGGACUGAGACACGGCCCUUACUCCUACGGGAGGCAGCAGUGGGGAAUAUUGGACAAUGGACCGAGAGUCUGAUCCAGCAAUUCUGUGUGCACGAUGAAGUUUUUCGGAAUGUAAAGUGCUUUCAGUUGGGAAGAAAAAAAUGACGGUACCAACAGAAGAAGUGACGGCUAAAUACGUG
rnacentral:rRNA from 1 species